rnacentral:rRNA from 1 species
GUUUACCAAAAACAUGGCUUCUUGAAAUUAAAAGCAUAAUAGGGAGUCGGACCUGCCCGGUGAAAAUUUUUAACGGCCGCGGUACUCUGACCGUGCAAAGGUAGCAUAAUCAUUUGCCUUAUAAUUGAAGGCUAGUAUGAAUGGUUUGACAAGAAUAUAACUGUCUCUUUAUAAUUAAUUAGAAUUUUAUUUUAAGGUGAAGAAGCCUUAAUGAGAUUAAAAGACAAGAAGACCCUAUCGAGCUUUAAAAAAAUUGAUAGAAAAACAUUAAUAAAUUUAAAAAAUUAAACUAUUAACUAUUUUGGUUGGGGCGACUGAGGAACAAACAAAGCUUCCUUUAAAAUAUUACAAACAUACAAGCACUUGAUCCAAGAUUUUUGAUUAAAGAAAUUAGUUACCGUAGGGAUAACAGCAUUAUCUUUUUUAAGAGCUCUUAUCGAAAAAAAGGUUUGUGACCUCGAUGUUGGACCAGAGUAUCCUAAAGAUGCAGAAGUCUUUAAGGGUUGGUCUGUUCGACCGUUAAAACUCUACGUGAUCUGAGUUCAGACCGG